UAUAAAAUCAGCGCAACUUCCAUGGUAUUUUGAAAAAUCGCUUCUAAUCAAUACGGAUUUCAGUCACUUUCACUUCACUAGAAGAUCGAACAUCAAUAGGAUUUGGGCUCCAUCGUUACAUUCAAUCAAACGAACUUAGCAAAUAUUACUUUGGAAUAGAUCUAAAAAAACUGCUUUCCACCAUUGAGAUUAGUCAUGUCAUUGAUCUCAAGUAACAAUGACAGCUUGUUCUUGAAGAAUAGUGGAUGAAAAAUUGCCAUUGUAAAGAAUUUUUAAUUAUUUCUCUUUAAAAAGAAAAUGUGAAGGUAUGAUAUUUGACCAAACAAG